AUCUGUAGCUGGUCUGAGAGGACGAUCAGCCACAUUGGGACUGAGACACGGCCCAGACUCCUACGGGAGGCAGCAGUGAGGAAUAUUGGGCAAUGGGGGCAACCCUGACCCAGCCAUGCCGCGUGAGUGAAGAAGGUUUUCGAAUUGUAAAGCUCUUUCGGAUGUGACGAUGAUGACGGUAGCAUCUAAAGAAGCCCCGGCAAACUUCGUGCCAGCAGCCGCGGUAAUACGAAGGGGGCGAGCGUUGUUCGGAAUUACUGGGCGUAAAGGGUGUGUAGGUGGACGUGUAAGAUAGCGGUGAAAUGCCGGAGCUCAACUUCGGAAUUGCCAUUAUAACUAUGCGUCUAGAAUUAUAGAGAGGAUAGCGGAAUACCCAGUGUAGAGGUGAAAUUCGUAGAUAUUGGGUAGAACACCAGUGGCGAAGGCGGCUAUCUGGCUAUAUAUUGACACUGAGGCACGAAAGCAUGGGGAUCAAACAGGAUUAGAUACCCUGGUAGUCCAUGCCGUAAACGAUGAAUGCUGGUUGUCGGACGAAUGUUCGGUGACGAAGUUAACGCGAUAAGCAUUCCGCCUGGGGAGU
rnacentral:rRNA from 1 species